AAGUAGGCGAUCCUGUCCUAUACGGCCCCUUCUUUGGAAUCAGUCAACAUGACGAAACUACUGUUUAUUUUGGUUCUGGUCAAUGUUUUUGCGUUCUGUUAUCUCCAACUGAUAACACCUAUGAUGGCCUGUGAGAUGAAAUGCCUUCAGGAUAAGGAUGCUACUAAUGUGCUGUAUAAUAGCGACGAGGCCAAGGAAUGUAGAGAGUACUGUCUUCACCAUGCCUACGACUUCUUACAUCAACUUGGAUAGAUGUCAUGAAAAUGUAGAAUCUGAAUACAGUUUAGAACAACUU
rnacentral:sRNA from 1 species